GAGUCAACGUUCUCAAACUUCGUUGCUAAGUGGGGAAUCCCCGCAGAACGGCUCGCGUUGAUGACAUCACAACCACGAAGGGUAUCCCGGAAUCUUCCUGCAACUUGAGCCCUGGGGGCGUGGCCUCGGCCGACUGGACUCGGACUACGUUAUAGGGACUGUGCCUGCAAAGAGAGAACGGGGGGAAGAACCGACGCAAGAACGCACCGAGGGCCGGGCGAUCGGUAGACGCGGAAGUGGCUAUGAGGACCGAAGAUCACUGAUACUACGCCCGCUAAGUAUUUUUGAAAGGAACGUUGAUUGUUCCCUUACCUGUGCUUUGAGUUGAACUGUCUUAGUGCUGUCUCGCGGUGUCCUGAUUCCUGGUGUUGCUACCCUUGCAGCGGUGCUGAGGCGACAACGGAGUAUUCCCCCCGACGAGGGGAUCAGCUGAUCGGAUUAGACGUCGGGUGGCUCGGAGUCAACGUUCUCAAACUUCGUUGCUAAGUGGGGAAUCCCCGCAGAACGGCUCGCGUUGAUGACAUCACAACCACGAAGGGUAUCCCGGAAUCUUCCUGCAACUUGAGCCCUGGGGGCGUGGCCUCGGCCGACUGGACUCGGACUACGUUAUAGGGACUGUGUGAGUGGUUCAACCUAUGGAACUUGUGUUUUCCAGAAAUACUUUUGUACUGGUCGGAGGGAGGCCUGCCCGACCAGUACUGUCUUUUCCCUCCACUUAAAGACUGUUGGAAGGGGAGUGGCACCACCAGGGGUGGACAGCAUAUUACAUCCCCUGCCAUUGUCUGCUGCUCUCGCCUUACUGUGUGGCGGGUGACUUUUUCUGAGUGCAUUUUGUGCCCUGGUGUGUUUGCCCAUUGUGAGACAUUUUGUAGUGAGAUUUUGGUGUGUUAUCUUGCGAUGUGUGUGCUGCUAUGGUAACAGGUUUCUUGGUGUGUGGGUAUACAUAUGAAGCUGGUUAAACUCGUGAGCUGUCAGUCAGUGUGCUAGCGUGCUGUGUGUGCUCCUGCCCUUUAGUGGUGGUCUAGAUCUCACUUCCCCCUAUGCCGAACAGUGUUUUAUGCUGCUUGUACUAAUAAAUAUUGUUGUUAUACUACUA